rnacentral:rRNA from 1 species
UACGAAGGGGGCUAGCGUUGCUCGGAAUUACUGGGCGUAAAGGGCGCGUAGGCGGCACUGUUAGUCAGGCGUGAAAGUCCUGGGCUCAACCUGGGAACUGCGCUUGAUACGGCAGAGCUAGAGGAUGGAAGAGGGUCGCGGAAUUCCCAGUGUAGAGGUGAAAUUCGUAGAUAUUGGGGAAGAACACCGGUGGCGGAGGCGGCGACCUGGUCCAUUACUGACGCUGAGGCGCGACAGCGUGGGGAGCAAACAGG